UACAUAGUCCCUCCGUCUGAAAAUACUUGUCGGAGGAUGUAUCUAGACGUAUUUUAGUUCUAGAUACAUCUAUUUUUAUCCAUUUCUCCGACAAGUAUGUCUGGAUGGAGGGAGUACUUA
rfam:Triticum aestivum genome assembly, contig: Triticum_aestivum_CS42_TGACv1_scaffold_527202_6DL